rnacentral:lncRNA from 1 species
CAAAAGUAACAAAGUACUUGUUGCCCCCUAAUGAAGGAACCUCAAAAGGUCCACAUACAUCAGAGUAUACAACAUGCAACAAGUCUUUGUAUACUACCUGAGUUUUCUUGCCAAAGGCUUCCCUGGUUUGCUUUCCAUCCAUACAACUUUCACAAGUUGGUAAUGCAGACUUCAACUCAGGUAACCCAAGUACCAUGCCUUUUGUACUUAGCAGUUUUAGAUCAUUAGCAUUCAAAUGCCCAAGUCUUGUAUGCCAAAGCCAUGUAGGAUCAGUCUUGGCUUGGGCAUGAAGACAUUGAUCAUUCCUUGCACUUAGCAUGACCUGGAAUAUUCUAUUGCCUGAGAUGGGUGCACUAAGUACUCUUCUUGCCUUUUUAUCAAACAGAUUCAUAAAUCCACCACUGAUUUCAAUCAUGAACCACUUCUCAUGCAAUUAUCCU